rnacentral:tRNA from 1 species
GGGGGUAUAGCUCAGCUGGGAGAGCGCCUGCUUUGCAAGCAGGAGGUCAUCGGUUCGAUCCCGUUUACCUCCACCA